rnacentral:rRNA from 1 species
CCUUUGACGUUGGCGGCGGACGGGUGAGUAACACGUGGGUAACCUACCUAUAAGACUGGGAUAACUUCGGGAAACCGGAGCUAAUACCGGAUAAUAUUUCGAACCGCAUGGUUCGAUAGUGAAAGAUGGUUUUGCUAUCACUUAUAGAUGGACCCGCGCCGUAUUAGCUAGUUGGUAAGGUAACGGCUUACCAAGGCGACGAUACGUAGCCGACCUGAGAGGGUGAUCGGCCACACUGGAACUGAGACACGGUCCAGACUCCUACGGGAGGCAGCAGUG